rnacentral:rRNA from 2 species
ACAUACGACCAUACCCACUGGAAAACUCGGGAUCCCGUCCGCUCUCCCAUAGAUAAGCCAGUGAGGGCCGGAUCAGUAGUUGGGUCGGUGACGACCAGCGAAUACCUGGUGUUGUAUGUA